UAAAGCCUUGCUUCUUACUACAAGGACUUCAAAGUUGGUGGUUUUGGAAAGAUACACACAAAGUAUCUGGUUCAGCUGAAAGGAGCGUUUCAUUCUCCUCAACACCAGCACCAAAUACAGUUCUGCAUUAAGUUGAUGCUCUGUUAGAAGAAGGAAAUUCAGUUCACCUCAGUCAUUGCCAGAAUCUUGAAGAAUCCGUCUUUACACGAGCUACAUUUUGAGAUUUUUAACUUAUCUCACUCAAGAGUCUCAAAGGACCAACCUUUCUUCUGCUGUAGAGAUCUGAGAUUGUCAGGAACAUGGAGAGAACCCUGUAUGAUUUGUCUGAUCUGAGAGAGACCAGGUUUGGUCAGCCGAGUCCCAGACACGGUCUGAGCUUGUUGUGGUGGUUUGCUCAUGAAUGUGUUCACAUCGACUCGAACAGUCGUAUGAUUGCACUGUACAACCCUGAAAAUGGAGCGUUUGGUUUCCACCGAUUCUAUAAUAGUGGUGGUAGACUUCUUCCUUACACUUAUCUUCCAUACUAUGAGGUGGGCAACCUCAGCACCCCUGGAUCACUGCCUCGUUAUGUCACUGAGAAGUACACUGGAAAUUCAGACAAAAGCAACAAAGAUCGCAUUAUUGUUUCCUUUGACUCAAGUUUGAACAGGUUCGACAGCAUUUAUGUGACACAGCACUCAGAUCUGACAAACUUUGACCAGAAUCAAACCUACCACAUUAGCAUUCAGCUUCUGAAGCAAAUUAAAACAUUGAACCUCAGAGAAAUGAUAAAUAAUCAGAUAUAUUCUUGGUUGUAUGUCCCACAUAGUUCCAACAUACACUCAUACUCUACAUCUUCACUUCAGUCGCUGCAGGGUCAAAGGUCAUACCAAUCUACCUGGGAUGUCUGUGAUUGCAGCUCUGAGCUGAUUUGCACACUGAUUUGUGUACUGAUGCUCUUGUUUGCACUUUUCCUCUUUCUUUUAAAAAUGGCAAAUAAAAUUUAGUUAACUGCUGUGUAUUUUUUCAGCAAAUGUUUUGGAUUGUAAAUCUGAAUACAUGUAAAUGCUUGACUUU